rnacentral:rRNA from 1 species
UAGUCCACGCCGUAAACGAUGAGUGUUAAGUGUCGGGCAUAAGCUCGGUGCUACAGCUAACGCGUUAAACACUCCGCCUGGGGACUACGGCCGCAAGGUUAAAACUCAAAGGAAUUGACGGGGACCCGCACAAGCGGUGGAGCAUGUGGUUUAAUUCGAUGCUACGCGAAGAACCUUACCACCCUUUGACAUCCUGAUUGGGAAUUGUAGAGAUACUUUUCUUCGGUUCGGCCGGAUCAGUGACAGGUGUUGCAUGGUUGUCGUCAGCUCGUGUCGUGAGAUGUUGGGUUAAGUCCCGCAACGAGCGCAACCCUCAUCCUUUGUUGCCAGCGGAUAAUGCCGGGGACUCUAGGGAAACUGCUCGUGAUAAGCGAGAGGAAGGUGGGGAUGACGUCAAAUCAUCAUGGCCCUUACAGGGUGGGCUACACACGUGCUACAAUGGCAAUGACAAUGGGCAGCUACUUCGCGAGAAGAUGCUAAUCCCAAAAAAUUGCCUCAGUUCGGAUU